UGGGGUGUAGCUCAGUGAUAGAGUGCUUGCCUAACAUGCAUGUGGUCUUGGGCUUGAGUCUCAGUACCACAA
rnacentral:tRNA from 1 species